ensembl:ncRNA K02F2.11 ncRNA
CCGUAGGAAUACGGGCUAGCAAAAAAAAAAGAAAGUGAUUUUUCCCUUUCAGACUGAAAAGGUACUGAAUCAUUCUAGAACAAGAGGAAAGUGGGGGAAAUCUAUCAUCGACGAAUCCUAAAAUUU